UAACUUACCGGGCAAGGAAGAUACCGUGAUCAAUAGGUUCUCCCAGGAUGAGGCCUAUCCAUUGCACUCUGGGCAGGCUGACCCCUGUGAGUUUACCAAAUGCGGGAAACUCAACUGGACACUUUUGUGGUAAUGGGGGACUGCAUUUGCACUUUCUCCCU
rfam:Alligator sinensis unplaced genomic scaffold scaffold542_1, whole genome shotgun sequence